ACGUAAAAGUAAUCGUAGUAAUCAUAAAAUCAGUCAUUACCAAGAAAUCACACUGUUGUGCUAAAAAAUGUCUCGUUUUACAACAACCCAUUCGACCGUUUAUAUUCCUCCCUGUUUGGAUUGUAAGGAAUCAAAUCAAUCUGUAAGAAAAUGUAAAGAAAGCACCGUAAAUGUCUGUAACAAGUGUACAAAAUCAUUGGAGGUGAACAGAUGUCAAAGAAGAAAAUCAAACAGUGUUAUUUUGGCUGUCGAUUCGUUGGAAUGUCUUGACUGCAAGAAAAUAGCUUCACGCGUCAUGUGCAAAUGUCACUGCACGCAGCAUAAUUGUUAUCGAUGCGUAAAAGAAAAUGUGCCGAAACUUAAACAUUGUUGCAAAUGUUCCUCUAAAGUCGAUGCAAACUGCAUUGUGGAGUGUGAAAAGCCAUGCUGUUCGAAGGAUUAUUCGUGCCAAACGCUUAACCGAGUACGAGAAUCACGAAUCAAGAAAACACUACUACCUGCCUGUCGUUGCCGUGAGCUUAAGUCACCUUCAACUGUUUCCCGCCCUGAUGAAGCCGUGUUUUGCAGUCGGAAAGUGCAGCUUGAAAAGCUACGUGACACAUCACUGCGAGGUAGUAGGCUAUGUCGUUGUAAUUGUAACCCCUGAAGACGGCUAUCGCAGUAUACGGUGUCUAGUAACGAGAGGAGAAGGACGUAAAUUUGUUUGUUAACUGAAAUUAGCUGAAAAUAAGCAUGUAUACUAAGAAAUUGUGUAAGCAACCUCUUUGGAACACCACCUACCGGACGUCAUACACCGGUCAGAAUCCUUUACGUCCGUUGGUUCCACCUCCAAAAGUCAAACUUUACAUUCCGGAACAUCGUUUGAGAUAUUUAGAACACAUGGGUACAAAAUCUCCGAUAGAACACAGGAAAUUCACUCCAUUACCCCGUACAUCUGUUGGGUCAGAAGAAUGUUGUAACUGUAUUUGGUAGGCAAAACUCCCGAAACGGAAAAUGCCUCAAACAAAUAAAUAAAAACUAAAUUAUGCCGUAAAUGGUGUAAAAUA